rnacentral:lncRNA from 1 species
UCUGCAUAACCCAUCUCCAAACUCAAAACACAGCCCCCAGACGUCGAUUCUUAGGAACAGUAUCCUCAUCUCAGCCGCUGCUUUCUGAUCCAACGUCCACUAUGUGUUCGCCUCUUCUUCCUGGCCGGCCGGUGUUAAAGCUUCUGUGGCAAUCGAAAAGGAUUCAGGUGGAGAUGGUGUUGGGUUAGGUUAGGGUUUCGCAGGUGGCGAGCGAUGGUGAUUGUGGAACGCCUGUCUGCAUCUUCCACCUCCACCGUCAACAUCCGCCUCCACACUCACACCUCUGAUAAGGCUAAUUUUCCUUAAGAGAAGAAAUUGGUUGCUGUUGAUGAUUUUGAGAACCAUGAUAGGUAAUGGUGCUAUUGGUGAGGAUGUGACUGACCGACCUUGACUGU